UGUAGGUCAUGACUCAUGAGACCAUAGCAUAAUGUAGCCUACAAAGAAAACACAGGAACAUAUUGAUUGUGUGACAUUUAAUUUAUUCAUUUGGUUAUAGAAAACAGUGACUUAAUAAUAAUGGGAUUAUCCAUAACAGUAACUUUUUCAUAUAAAAUAUAAUAUAUUUCAAUUUCAGAAAAAUAUGACAAAUCUAGUGCAUUCAUGGUAAUAAAAGCGCUCAGAAAUGCUGAACUUUUAUUUUAUCAGGUGUGCCGAACCAUAAUCGUCCGUUUGACAGGUGAGUCUUAGUUCUGUCUGUCUGGGUUCUUACACUUGUUACAAAGAUAUCAAUCAAUCAGUGACGGUCAGAUAUAAAUCCAGCGAAGCAGCAGUUGAGGGGGCAGUAUAACCGAGCGAGGUGAUCAGUGGAUCUCCCUCCACGUCUUGAACCACAUCGCCUUGGACAGGGGACAUAAACAUAGGAACAGCAGGCCAAGUUCUUCAGGGUUGCGUAACGAGGUGUGCUGUGCUGGUUAAAUCAGCAUAGAGUGAAGGUGCGGACUGUGCUGUGGUUGGUUUAUUUUCUCAUGGUUCAGAAAGGUUCAGAAUGGAUGAAGCCAACACCUGGGAUACUUGGACUGCAGAUUAGAGGAAGCUGGUGAGGGGAGGUUGGCUCAUAAUGAUGAAUAGAAUGGAGUGAAUGGCGAUGUAUCAAACACAUACUAUUAGCCCGUCCUCCCCAUUUGAAGUGCCACCAGCCACCACUGCGGUAGAUCCAAGGAGCAACACUGCAUGGAGAUCAACUGGACUGGUCUAGGCUUGGACAGAGACCCUCAGGAUCCAUCACAUACUACAUGCAAUCACUCCAAGGAAUCCACAACUGAGACAGCCAGCAAGCAGGCAGGCAGCAGCAGCUCUCCUGGUGGAACCACAGCGUGUAGUGGCUGACAUAUCAGUGAUGUUUAUUAAGAGACGAGUCUAUCAGGUUUCAUAAACCCGUACCUCGCAGACGCCACAUCUUUUGUUUCUUCCGGAGGGUGUCAUCAAUCUUAAUGCAGCGGGAGGCUUCUGCUUCGCUCUCCUGAGCGGUUGAUGGGAGAUCACAAAGCCCUCCCUCCCUCCUUUCCUCCCUCCAUCCCUCCCUCCUUCCUUCCCUCCCAUCUGAGUUGACUUGCCCAGCGCGACUCAAUGGUAAAGGAAGGUAGCUAACAGGCAGCAGGGUAGAAAGAAGACUAUAUACUCCGGUGAUUACCCCCAAUGAUUGAGAGGCGGGAUGGGUGCUACUACAGUAUAUACUGUAUGUGGACAUGACACCCGCAUUCGACCUCAGUCACUGAAAGGAUUGUACUUGGCAAAAUGAACGUUGUGCGCUUCUAUGUACAUCACGUUUAUGCUGUGACGUAUACAGUGCAUUCUGAAAGUAUUCAGACCCCUUCACUCUUUCCACAUUUUGUUACGUUACAGCCGUGUUCUACAAUGGAUUCAAUUGUUUUCUCUCAUCAAUCUACACACAAUACCCCAUAACGAGAAAGCAAAAAUAGGUUUUAGACAUUUUUGCAAAUGUAUUAAAAAUAAAAAAACUCAAAUAUUACAUUUACAUCAGUAUUCAGACCCUUAACUCAGUACUUUUUUGAAACACCUUCGGCAGCGAUUACAGCCUCAAAUCUUCAUGGGUAUGACGCUACAAGCUUGGCACACCUGUAUUUGGGGAGUUUCUCCCAUUCUUCUCUACAGAUCCUCUUAAGCUCUGUCAAGUUGGAUGGGGAGCGUUGUUGCACAGCUAUUUUCAGGUCGCUUUAGAGAUAUUCGAUUGGGUUCAAGUCUGGGCUCUGGCUGGGCCAUUCAAGACCAUUCAGAGACUUGUUCCGAAGCCUCUCCUGUGUUGUCUUGGUUGUGUGCUAAGGGUCGUUAUCCUGUUGGAAGGUGAACCUUCGACCCAUUCUGAGGUCUUGAGCGCUCUGGAGCAGGUUUUCAUCAAGGAUCUUUCUGUACUUUGCUCCAUUCAUCUUUGCCUUGAUCCUGACUUGUCUCCCUGUCCCUGCCGCAGAAAAACAUCCCCACAGCAUGAUGCUGCCACCACCAUGCUUCACCGUAGGGAUCAAAUCAAAUCAAAGUUUAUUUGUCACGUGCAUCAAAUACAACAGGUAUUUCACCUUACAGUGAAAUGCAAUAGAUAAGUAAAGAAUUCAAAAACAACAUUAAAAAAACAGUGAAUAAAACAGUAGUGAAGGCUAUAUACAGUAGCGAGGCUAAUUGAGGUAGUAUGUACAUGUAGGUAUGGAUGGUGCAAGAAAACCAGGUUUUCAGGAGUUCAAUUUUGGUUUCAUCAGACCAGAGAAUCCUGUUUCUUAUGGUCUGAGAGUCCUCUACCAUACAGGCCUGAUUGGUGGAGUGCUGCAGAGAUGCUUGUCUUUCUGGAAGGUUCUCCAAUCUCCACAGAGGAACUCUGGAGCUCUGUCAGAGUGACCAUUGGGUUCUUAGUCACCUCCCUGACCAAGGCCCUUCUCAGUUUGGUCCUGCGGCCAGCUCUAGGAAGAGUCUUGGUGGUUCCAAAACUUCUUCCAUUUAAGAAUUAUGGAGGCCACUGUGUUCUUGGGGACCUUCAAUGCUGCAUUUUUUGGUACCCUUCCCCAGAUCUGUGCCUCGACACAAUCCUGUCUCAGAGCUCUAUGGACAAUUCCUUCGACCUGAUGGCUUGGUUUUUGCUCUGACAUGCACUGUCAACUCUGGGACCUUAUAUGGACAGGUGUGUGCCUUUCCAAAUCAUGUCUAAUGAAUUUAAUUCAUCACAGGUGGACUCCAAUAAGGAUGUAGAAACAUCUCAAGGAUGAUCGAUGGAAACAGGAGGCACCUGAGCUCAAUUUCUGUCACGCCCUGACC